rnacentral:rRNA from 1 species
UACAGAGGGGGCAAGCGUUAUUCGGAAUUAUUGGGCGUAAAGAGCGCGCAGGCGGCUGGUCAAGUCCGAUGUGAAAUCUCCCGGCUUAACUGGGAAACUGCAUCGGAAACUGAUCGGCUUGAAGGUGGGAGAGGGUAGUGGAAUUCCCGGUGUAGUGGUGAAAUGCGUAGAUAUCGGGAGGAACACCAGUGGCGAAGGCGACUACCUGGCCCAUUCUUGACGCUGAGGCGCGAAAGCUAGGGGAGCGAACGGG